AGGGCAUCCAGUGUUAAGUUCUGGGGAUCACUCCGCUGCGGCGACCCCUGAUAAAGGGAAUAAGCCGAAAGAGACCGAGAAUUUUCCGUGUGGUUUCACAGGUGAUCACGAACCCAAACCACCCCAGCCCCCCUGUUGAUUCUACUUAAAGCCACAUGAGGGCGGUGUAUAAGGAGUGCAGUCAUUCCAGAUGGCCUCAUUGCUUCAUUCUUGGCCUGCCAAACAGACGUUAUAGCAAUCCAGCUGAUGAUAGAUCCUCAUUCAGCCGCCCUCCUGCAUGGAUGAAUUCGGGAGAACUGUAAAUGAGGACUGACAUAUGAUGCCAUGACGUGUUCUCUGUAUAGCUUGCAGUGCCUGUUAGCAGACUCCGAGCAUUAAGUACCCUGUGAAGACUUUGUGUCUGUGAAAUCACUUUCUUUUCCGGCUGGUUGUGGGAUUUGUUGUGCCUUGUCAUCAGCGAGCAGCGAUGGGAACUCACUGUUGUUCACCUCUCAUGUCAUUCUGGGGAUGGAUUGUACGGGGAUGAAAAAGACAGCAGACAGGAUCGAGAUAGAAGGCUCAGUUGAACUGUCAGAUAUUCUGAGCCUCUUCACAUGAAUGAGACUCCUUAAUGUCUGUAACCUUGAGGUUUGUGUUUGCUCUCCAUAGAAACAGACGGCUGAAUCUUUGUUCCCCUGGUAACCUGCAACGUGAGGCAAUCCAGCUGGUGAGAGCGCCAUGCAUAUUGACAAAUUCUUCCUAUACCAAUUGCACAAAUAAUCUGAGGACGAUGAGAGAGACUGGAGGUGGAACUGCGCCGAGAAUGUCUGAGGCGGAAGCUCUGGCACAGUCUUGCAUUACAUAAAGCCUCGGCGUUGCUUAAUAUUCUCCGCACCUCCGUCCUUCUGGCUCUAUCUUAUUUGAGGAUCUUAUAUUCUUCAAUACAAUCUUCCAGUACUUUUCUCUCCGGCUGCUUAUAUUCUCAAGCAUUUUUUUUUGACAGUGCAGGGAUUUGACUGAGCAAAACUCAGCUGUCAGAGCAGGAACAAUGAAGUCUGCAUCUCCUUCAGGUGCAGAUAUCGCAUGAGUGAUGCACUGCUUUGACCUCGGGGCUUGGCAUUAAUGCACUUCUCGCCUGUUUGUUUGAACAAAAGCGGUAAUAUGCGUCAGAUAAGUUCGCCUGGUGUCUUUUUGUAGUCUUUGAAGUGAAGCUGUGAGUCCUCAGAUGCCUUAUCAAAUAAUGAAAGUGCUGGGGUUACAACAUAUUCAGGGUGUUUGGUGAACACUCAACAGAUACUGGUUGUAAACAGCAGAGGGCAGUGUUCUCUUUGCUUGGCGGAGAGCUCUGGUCAUGCAGUGUGGUGUGGAGUCAGGUGCACGCUUGAUUCAGGUUGUGAAAAUGUUUCAGACAUAACAGGCAUUAUCAGAAGCAAUCGUGAUUUGUUUAUCACGUUUGUCAAAGAGCUAGAAAUAUAUUUUUCAAACCAAUGCAAAAUUCAAUGACAUUAGUUUGAGGAUGUCACGAAAUUUCAGGUUAAGGAAAAAGUGUUUUUUUAACCUUUAUUCAGCAAGGAUGCAUCACCAGAAUGGAAUAAUGUGUGCAUCCCAUCAUCUUAAUAAAUUACAUUUGAAGACAUAUUUAAAUGUGUUUUAAAUUGUUAUAAUAUUUCACAGUAUUACUGUUUUAUACUUUGAAAAAAUAAAUACAGCAUAAAAGACUU